rnacentral:lncRNA from 10 species
ACUCAGUGGCCCCCAGACCUGUAGCAUGCUGACAGGCCCACGCAAAGCCAAGAUCAAACCUACAGCAGCCCUUCUCCAUCAGCCCAGCACCCUGAGUCGCAUUCCUUGGUCAGGCUCUGGAAAUGGUAGAGGCAGCUGCUGUGGGAAGGUGAACCCCGGGGGUUCUGGCCCAGCUUGUUUGGGGCAAAUGCAGGAGCUGACAACUUACAAUCACAGCCUGUCCCCACUCACCUGCUACAGAGGACUCAGUCAUUUCAUUUCCCUGAUUUCUCCAGGUCUCUAGUGGGGGUUCCCUGGUGCCGACACCAUUCCAUCCAGGAGCUGAUGAAAACCCCUCUUCUCUGAAGCACAGGCAGAAUGUAUCCUUAGAAAGGAAGCCAGGGGGCCGGGUAUGGUGGCUCACGCCUGUAAUCCCAGCACUUUGGGAGGCUGAGAUGGGUGGAUCACCUGAGAUCGGGAGUCCAAGACCAGCCUGGCCAACAUGGUGAAACCCCAUCUCUACUAAAAAUACAAAAAUUAGCCAGGCAUCAUGGCGUGCACCUAUAAUCCCAGCUACUCGGGAGGCUGAGGCAGGAGAAUCACUUGAACCCGGGAGGUGGGGAUUGCAGUGAGCCGAGGUUGUGCCACUGUACUCCAGCCUGGGUGACACAGGGAGAUUCCAUCUCAAAAAAGAGAGAAAGAAAGAAAGAAAGAAAGAAAACACAGGGUUGCUAAGGCCAAGGCAUCACACACUUAACACCACCAAGUCAUUCCAGAGUGAAAGGAACGCAAAUCCAGUCUCAGGCUGUCUGAUUGACGAAGCUUCUGGAUGCACAGCUUUUACAUUUUUAUAUUUUAUUCUCUGUGAUGUGCCCAGCUCAGGAGCCGCAGGUUUCGGCCAGUUGUUCUGCUCUAGUCCUGAGCGCCCUGGCAUGUUUUACAGUUCUGAGACUGUCCUAUAUUCAGGGCCUGUACCAUGGACAGAUGCAAAGCCACUAAAUGUGUGAGCUGGAAUAGACAAGAACAGUUAUAUUGAGUGUUUACUACAUGCUCGUCCUCACAACGUUACGUGCUAAGCACUAGGAGUCGCAGUUUUUGGGGUGCAGAGGCUGAGGAUGAGGGCAGUUACAUAUCUUGUCAAGUCUCCCCCUGGCAAGGGGCAGUUGUAACUCAGCACUUCCUGGUGGCACAGCCUGGGCUCUGGGCUCCCCCCCCAACGCUUCGCAGGUGGCCUGGCUGCCACUGUUCCCCAUGGCACUGGGCAGGCCGCUCACCUUUUGUUGUUGCCAGGCUCUUCGAUAAUCCCUGUCCAUGGGGUUCAUGAGAUUAUAGCGAGGAUCAGAUAAUGCAGUGAGCAGAAAAGUGCUUUGGAGUGGAGUGAAUACACACAUGGGGUGCCAAUCACAGCCAGUCCUUUUCCUAGCUACCCAACAAUUUGGCAUCCCAAAGGGAUCACCCUCUCUAGCGCGUGUUUAUGAGCUGACUAGAAAAAGGCACGUAGACGCAAGAAGACAGAAGUGUGAUUUUGAAAGUGGGUACCCCUUUACCCAGAGCUGGAAGGCAUGAAGGAGGUAAGGGUGGAGACCCACCGUCUAGAGGCUUUGAACUGAAACCUUGGAAGAGUGAACUCU